UCUCUACAGGAGCAGUCAGGAACGCCAAAGAAAUCUUCACAUACAUUGGAAAACGCCCAUUUUCCAAAGCCAACCUGUGACCUGGCCAUAUAAUUUUUGAUCGCACUGGCAUAGCCUCUGAAUGUCCCUGCCAAGGAAUGUGGGCCAGGCACCCAUUAAGAGGAAGCAGAAGAAAGGUGGGAUUAAGUUGGGAGUCAGUCCUGGCAAAAUCCAUCUCUAUUUUCAGAGGACAGUCUUCUAAAGGAAGGAAAAUGGAAUGGAAGUAUAGGAAGAAAAUGUAGACACAGAGGUAUCUAGUAAAACCAAUCCCAGGAGAGCAGAGGCUGGGUAAGAGGGGCAAACACGGCUGAGAGGGUCUGGCAAGCUUCCCUCCCUAUAUCUGCCAUGGCUGCUUCUCUGAGACCCAAGGGCAGGGAGAGCACUGAUGGUAGCAGGAGCAGCAGUGCAGUCCAUGUUCCCUCCUCUGGAACCUACUCCCGCCCCUCUUGGAGGAAAAGCAGGCCCUCCCCAGAUGUAUACCCAAGUCAGAGCGCAGGAUCCACAGAAAGACCCCAAGCCCAGGCUUCCAGUCCCAUCUCUGCCUCUCCUGCUCUUCCUCCCUACUACGGUGAUCCAGGCAGGGCUUUGGGGCCUCCAGAUCCUCGUGGCCAAUGCUGGCUCAUUGCAGACACUCUAGGGUCCAAAGGCUGCCAGAUGCAUAGAGAGAAGAGUGGCCUGGCCACAACCCUCAGGGGCACUAAGGUGGGAAAAGAUGAACACCAUAAAGAUGGGAUAAAAGCUCAGGUCUGUCCAUUUUGGGAGUGCAUGCUCCAAACUGCCUCCUACACCUAUCAGCUUUGUUGUCACCGGGAAAUGUAGAGUCCUCAAUUCUUAGUCUUACUUGGGAGAAUUCGGCCAAGAGACCAAGUAGUAAUGUAAGCAAAAGGUUUACUGAAGGAAAAUAAAGAGCAGGGAUUGUAUUUAUUUAUUUAUUUAUUUUGUGACAGAGUCUCACUCUGUCUCCCAGGCUGGAGUGCAGUGGUGCGAUCUCGGCUCACUGCAACCUCCAAUCCACCUCCCGGGUCCAAGCGAUUCUCCUGCCUCAGCCUUUCAAGUAGCUGGGACUACAGGCAUGUGCCACCACGCCCAGCUAAUUUUUUGUAUUUUUAGUAGAGACGGGGUUUCACUGUGUUAGCCAGGAUGAUCUCGAUCUCCUGACUUCAUGAUCCAUCUGCCUCGGCCUCCCAAAGUGUUAGGAUUACAGGUGUGAGCCACCGCGCCUGGCCUGGGAGUUUAUUGAAGUAGACUCCAAGAGAGGAGCUAGCAGGUCUGCCUGGGAAGCAGCAGUAUUCACAGCAAGAGUGAGGUAGCAGCAGAGACAGUACACUCUGAAAGAUGAGGCAGAGCAGGCUGCUCGAAAGAUGAGCCAGCAGCUAGAGAGUUCUGCCUUGCGGUUUUUAUUAGGUCACACUCUCUUUAAGUUCCUGCCUCUGUCUCAAGUCUCCACCUUUGUCUAAUUUCCUGCCUCUAUCUUAUGUCUCCAUCUUUUCGCCCCACCUAGUUCCCACCCCAGGUUUGUGGGACUCUCCCUUACUGUCAGCUGAUGAACCUGCAGGGGCGGGUGUCGGAUAUGAAUCCUACCGAAUGGUGACGUUGCUAAUUACUGCCACUCCAGGAAGGGUGUAUAUUGGUAUUUAUUGCACCUGCAUAUCUCGUAGGAAUUUCUCCUUUGCUUUCUUUCCCUAGCAUGCAGCUGGCUACAUUCCCACAGGUUAACUGUAGAGUGAUGAAUGGGCAUCUUAAGGGGUGUCUUGGGGUGUUCCUUCCUGCGUAGAUAUUUCCCCUCCUCUCUGCUCAUAUCUAGGGUGAAUGUUUUGGGUGGUCUCUGGGUUGUGAGACUUUCCAGACCUCCCUUUCUCAGGGGCUCCCCCACCUGUUCAUAUCUAUCUGCCUACUCUGACAGUAUAACCUUGGGCAAGUCACUUGACCUCUCUGAGCAUUGGUUUUCUCAUUACAGAUCGAAAGCAUUAGACUAAGUCAGUGGUUUCCAAACUUUCCCAGCCACAUAACCCUUUCUUUAAAUGAAAUCUUACUGGAAUCCUACCAUGUAACCUGUUUACUGAACAGUCCUAAUUUGAUGAGAUACAAACAUGACCAGUUUUAUCUUUCUUGCAACCACUGCCUUCCAACGUCUCCAUUGAGCCCCCCUUCCCAUUCCUAAGGCCACCUCAGGCAGACCCUGGUCACUUUCAGUGGAUAAAAAGUCUGCCCAGUCGUUUCAAUUUAAAGCUUCAAUCUGAUGUCCAACAUGGGGCCCACAUCCUCCCAUCCUCCAUCCUCUGUUUCCAGUUUGCCCCAUGGUCUAAAGGACUCAGACCAGGGAGGAGAACAUGGUCUGCUCUCUCCUGGCUCCUUCCCUCUCCUCCCCAGCACUCUUCUGGACCUCUGUCUUCAGCUGUUGGGGCAGGGAGGAGGGAGCAAAAAAAGGACAUUUUCUGACCUCCUGGCUGAAGAUGUCCUUGGUGCUUCAGGCAUCCAGCUGCUUGGUGGCCUUCCUACCUCUUGCUGAAAGGUGUUUAGCAGUCAGGCCUUUGGGACCGGGUCCUGGCCAGAUGGCUCCAGCGAGGCUGCCUUCCUUGGUGCUCACUUGGCACGGAGGAGACCCACCCAUUCUUGCCCCACCUGGCAAUAGGAGGCCACCCCCUGCUGCCCCAAUCUGUCCUGCCCUCUCUUUCUUCUGCCCCAACAGGCAAAAGGGCAGAUCAGCAAGGUCUAGCAUAAGGAGAUGCCCAGCCAGGGAAUGGCAGGUCAGCUUCCCUUUCUCGUGGGCACCUGUAUGUCAUACAGUGAGUGGCACCAUUGGAGGCCCCUCCCUUGACUUGGGCAGGGGCCAGGCAUCCCCAAGUCUCCACAGGGAGGUGCAGGGAGGUAAAGACCACAGCAGUUCCCCAAGGCAGUGCCUCCUUACGAGGGGGAUUCUCAACUCCUGCUGCGCAUUAGAUCCCAUGAAAUGCUCAGUAAGAGAUACCAACGUGCUGACCCCCGGGGCCAGUUAACUCAGCAUCUUGAGAUACAGCCUGAGAAUGUUUCUUCUGAAAGCACCUGAGGUGAUUGCGGAAGGCAGCCAGGGUUGGGAACCACUGCCCUGUCCAAAAAGUUCCCAUCAAAUGAUGGAGAAAGCACCUGUUAGACCUGCUGAUGGCCAGGGAGGGUCUGGGUUCUCCUUUUGUAAGGUGGCAGGGGCAGACUUAGGACCUGGUACCCUUAGUUUUAGGGCUUUAGACACAAUUUGAAAGUACCAGAAGAGUUCCCAUUCAACAUUCUAGUAUAAGUGGUUGUCGAACUUGUCUUAGCAGCAGAACUUUCCUCAUACGAGUCUGGCUGCAGCAAGGGGAGGGGCCAGAGCUUUGCUAGCAGCAUUGGAACCUGCCCCCCCUCACACCCCUUUAAUGAAAUAAUCACUCAGGCCCCUUUGGCUCACUCUGAGAACCUUCCGUUGCUAUGUUACAUUGGAGAGAGGGGGCCACCCUGCAGCUCUCUGAAGGGAGAAUGGGAUGGAAAUGGAGCCAGAAGCACAGGCAGAGUAGAGAAGCAAGUGGGCACCCAUAGCAGGUUGUGGGGGAGCCAGGGUGGGCCAGGAGGUGGGAGGAGAAAGGAAGUAGGCUUGGGGGUGUGGGGAGGGUGGCUGCUGACCUCCCAGUUUUGCUGAGAACAGCCAUCUCUAGGCCAGAGUCCCCAGAAAGUUGUGCUCCUCCCUAUGCCCUGAGCAGGGGGAAGAAGAGGGAACGUGGCCUCAGAACCUGCAGCAGCCACCACCGCCGGGGCAGCACGAGGAUGGGCAGAAAUCCGCUGGAGAUGAGAGGCCCGCCACGGAGCCCCUCUUUAAGAUCCUAGAUACGCCUCUGAGCGAGGGUGAUGAGCCCACAACACUGCUGGCCCCGCGGGACCAUGGGCAGAGCGUGCAGAUGGAAGGCUACCUGGGCCGCAAGCAUGACCUGGAGGGGCCCAACAAGAAGGCUUCCAACAGGUCCUGGAACAACCUGUACUGUGUGCUCAGGAACAGUGAGCUAACCUUCUACAAGGAUGCCAAGAACCUGGCCCUGGGGAUGCCCUACCAUGGGGAGGAACCCCUGGCCCUGAGACAUGCCAUCUGUGAGAUUGCUGCCAACUACAAGAAGAAGAAGCACGUCUUUAAGCUGAGGCUGAGUAAUGGCAGCGAGUGGCUCUUCCAUGGCAAGGAUGAGGAGGAGAUGCUGUCCUGGCUGCAGGGCGUGAGCACCGCCAUCAACGAGUCCCAGAGCAUCCGCGUCAAGGCGCAGAGCCUGCCCCUGCCUUCCCUCUCCGGCCCCGACGCCAGCCUCGGCAAGAAGGACAAGGAGAAGAGAUUCAGCUUCUUCCCCAAAAAGAAGUAGCGGGUGGGGCUGGCGGGCGCGGCGGAGUAGGGACACGCAGAGACCGGGCAGCCCAGGCCUUGGCCUCCUCUCGCCGCUGCCCGCCGGUCGAAUCGAGACGAGUCGAGUCGCGGGCCGGGCCCCCGGGCCCCACGCUGCACUGCAAAAGCUGCCUUCGCCCGCGUGUCCUGGGCCGACGCCCCCUCCAUGCCCUCGCCCGCGCUGGCUCCGCUCCAGGGACAGGGGCUCCCAGCUCCUCUGGCGCCUUUGGGGCCUCCAGGCCUGGGGGCAGGAAACGGUUCUCUGAGGCACACGCCCUCCUCUCCCACCCUGCUCCUGAGCCGAGGGUGCGCAGGCCCCUUACCCCCAACC
rnacentral:sRNA from 1 species